rnacentral:rRNA from 1 species
GCAAGCCUGAACCAGCCAUGCCGCGUGAAGGAUGACGGCCCUAUGGGUUGUAAACUUCUUUUGUACGGGAAAAAACCACCGGUCGCGUAUCGGUGAUGAUGGUACCGUAAGAAUAAGCAUCGGCUAACUCCGUGCCAGCAGCCGCGGUAAUACGGAGGAUGCAAGCGUUAUCCGGAUUCAUUGGGUUUAAAGGGUGCGCAGGCGGAGUGAUAAGUCAGUGGUGAAAAGGCCUACAGCUUAACUGUAGUAACUGCCAUUGAUACUGUCAUUGCUUGAGUAUUCGAUUGAGGUAGGCGGAAUCCGAGCUGUCAUGUAGUCGAGUUUGAAAUGACUUAGAUAUCGACACAGGAGACACCGACUCGCGAGAGGCAGCUUACCAAGCAAUAACUGACGCUCAUGCACGAAAGCUGCCCUGGGGUAUCAAACAGGGAUUAGAUACCCUGGGUAGUCCACUGCACGAUAAAGCCGAUGAUCACUCGAUGUUGGCGAUAAUCACAGCUUCUCACAGCGUCUUAGUAGGAAAGUAUUAAGUGAGUCCACCGCUUGACCGAUGGCAAGUACAGAUCGCAAGGUUGAAACUCGAAGGAAUUGACGGGGGCCCUCACGGCACAAGCGGAGGACAACCCAUGUGGCCCCUUGUAGAAUGUUCGAUGAUACGCGAGGAACCUUUCACAAUCUGGGCUCAAAUGUCCACGAAUGACAGAUCGCAGGAAACCAUGUUCUUCUUCGCGUAUCAUCGAAUCUACAAGGUGCUGCAUGGCAUGUCCCUCAGCUCGUGCCGUGAGGUGUCGGGUUAAGUCCCAUAACGAGCUUCAACCCUUGCGAUCGUUACUUCCCAGGUCGGGUCAAGCCUAAUACUUUCCCUAACGAAACUGCCUCCUGUCAAGUAGUCGCCAACAAGGCGGGGAUGACGUCAAAUCAGCUUACGGCCCUGGAUACGUCCCAGGGCUAUCUCAUCCUGUUUGAUCCCCAAUGGCUUUCGUUGCAUGAGCGUCAGUUACUGCGUGAUACAGCUGCAAAUCUCGAUCAAAGUCGGUCUCAGUGUCGGAUCGAAGUCU